UGCAGCAGAAAACUUGUCUUCACAAGUGGUGUUUCUACUAAUAUUCUGGAUGAGUCCCUUUUUUGAUGUUCAAAAAAAUUAAAGUUAUUUUCUUAAUUCUUUUUAAAGGAAAACCUAACAGAAUUGAAGAGGAGGAGCUGUUAUGGAAAAAAUGAUGUUCAAAGUUUAAAGAAUGUUAGGAGGUAGAUUUUCAGUGAUAACAUCUGACUAUCAUGUUUCAAAAUCGGAGAUUUCUUUCAUUGCUGGUGGAGUGUGCUGUACCAAUAAGAGAUCGUAAUGAAAUUAUUCAGUGAAAGGAGAUGAACUGAGGAUUAUUUCACUCAGCAAAUUGUAAAGCACAGAGUUUCCCACCAUCCUGAUCCCGCCCUCUUAGUCUGGGAGAAACUGGAUUAUUUCUCAGUAAUAAGAACGUUGAUGCAAUAAGUGAAGUUAGACCAAAAGGGAUAGAGCCAGAUACGUGCCAAAUAUGAUAUAGACAAGAUUGUUGCAGCUGAACUCCUCAACUAACAAGGAAGACUGUUGCAGAUUGUUAAAGCAAAUAUGAAGAACUUGACAGUCAGUGGAUAUUUGUCCUAAAGCCAGCAUCUAAAGAGGUUGAGACAUCUUUGAACGCCUGCUGCUACAUGGAGGAACACUGACAUUUGGCAACUGUCCUCCAAACAUUAAGGAGAAAUGAUGGAGAAGGAGAGGCUGGCACCGCGUUUCUCUUUAGACAGACCUGGAGUUGGAUGAGAUAGUGCAGUGAAGAGGUAUUUUAUUUCUGGAAGAUUGUCAAAGGAGGCUUUUCCACCAGACAAUGCCAGCCUGGUCAGACAGUGCAACUGGGUCAAUGUCAUCUUUGGAUUGUCACGACUGGGUUGCAUUGCUGAAAAGUCAACGACCUCUUCUCCAUCAAGGAGAAAAUAUCCCAAAGCUGGGUGAUUAACACCAAACAGCUGGAGGGGUGUCUGACAUUCAUGUCUUCAUUUCAUAUGAGAAGAGAAUCUUCAUCCUUGCAGGAGACGACCAGGACGGCACCUGCAGGGAUGCUGGAACUUUCAAGUACUGGCAAUCAAAUACGCACCACUUGUCAUUCCUCUGCAAUGCUGACUUGACCAGAGUUCAUUACAGGAAGGAUGUGAUUACACUGGAGGGAGUGCAAGGAAAAUUCACCAGAAUGUUGCCUGCACUGAAGCGGUUCAGUUGUAACGGGAGGCUGAAUUAGCUCGGGUUGUUUUCUUUGGAGCAGAAAGGCUGAGGGGGCACGUGGACAGGAUGGAUAGAAGGCAGCUGCCCAUCUUAUUUGAAAGUGAUAUUCAACACAAGCUCAAGGAAUAGCACCUCAUCACAACUUGUUGCUGCCUGGCCAUAAUAUUUACUUUAACAGCAAUGAAGGUGCUAGUUUCUCCUGAAAUGGGUGCUUCCAAUGGUGUACUGAUGCUUGGAGGAUUGAAUGACCAGCAGAUUGGAACUAGGAAGAGGAAUGUGCAAUCCCCUUUUUUAUUUGAAACACCAUAAUUGUGAAAUGGACUGUACCAAUAGUGUAAAAUGUUACACUAAGAAGGUGGUCAUUCAUACAGCCAGAUUAUCAGCCAAACAGUUGAAUGAGGACAACACUGCCAGUUGUGAAGAGCACUUCCAUUACCCUCAAUUUCUGUUUCACAGCCUGUACUGCCAUUCAAUUAGUCAAUCACCAAUCUCCUUGCCUGUCCACUCCCUGUUUUCUUCAAUUCCCCAAGAGCUUCUAUCUCAGGUAGAGAAUUCCAAAGGUCCAUAAACCUUGGAAUGAAAAUAUUUCUCCUCAGCUGAGUACAAAAUGAUCAAACCCUUAUCCUGAAGUCAUAGAGCUGUAUAGCAUGGAAACAGACCUUUCAGUCUAACUCAUCUAUGCUGACCAAAUAUCCUAAAUUAA